rnacentral:rRNA from 1 species
GACGAACGCUGGCGGCGUGCUUAACACAUGCAAGUCGAGCGGAAAGGCCCUUUCGGGGGUACUCGAGCGGCGAACGGGUGAGUAACACGUGAGUAAUCUGCCCUUCACUUGGGGAUAACUACCGGAAACGGUGGCUAAUACCCGAUAUGACCAAUCACUGCAUGGUGUGUUGGUGGAAAGUUUUUUCGGUGGAGGAUGUGCUCGCGGCCUAUCAGCUUGUUGGUGGGGUAAUGGCCUACCAAGGCUUCGACGGGUAGCCGGCCUGAGAGGGUGACCGGCCACACUGGGACUGAGACACGGCCCAGACUCCUACGGGAGGCAGCAGUGGGGAAUAUUGGACAAUGGGCGAAAGCCUGAUCCAGCAACGCCGCGUGAGGGAUGACGGCCUUCGGGUUGUAAACCUCUUUCAGCGGGGACGAAGCGCCGGUAAUGGUGGUGACGGUACCCGCAGAAGAAGCACCGGCCAACUACGUGCCAGCCGCCGCCGUAA